CUCAGUAACGGAGAUAAAUUCUUCUUCUUCUUCUUUUCUGGGUCAGUCGUCCUGAGGGAUGUUCCCCUCCUCAUCCUCCUCAGGUUCUUCUGGAGCUUUAUUGAUUGGACAGAUUCCAAGAGUGAAUAAGGGAGAGAGAGACGUGCAGCUAACUGACGGGUCGGAAUCAAACCUGUGGCUGCUGCAGGAGGACACACGCCUCAGUACAAGAUUAACCAGAUGUGCCGACAUGAGACUGAAAAACAAAACCAAAGACUUGAGACCAAAACCAGGACAAAGAAAACAGAAGAGGGGGUGAAACCAGAAAC